AGUUUAGCAAGAUAUUGUUUUUCUUUUCGGAAAGGUCGUAUUUUAUAGAAUGUCAUUUAAAAGUGACGGAAUGUUAAAUGGAUAAAACAAUGACAGUAAUCGGCUCAUUUCGCUUAACAUUCCUCAGAAAUUAACAAAAAUAAUUAUGAAAAUUAACAUCACAUUCCUACCAUAUUUUGAUAAUCACGGAAAAUACAGAGAACCUAUUAUUAUUAUUAUAUAAUAAGCUUUUACCACUUUCCGUAAUAAUAUUAAUAAUGUGAAACAAUUAUUUUCUUCAUUAGCCGCAAUGCGCCUGUCUGGAGCCUGUUUUGUAACAAUCCCAUUUCUUUUGAGUUGUUCUGAUAGAAGAAGUAGAAUUUUUCUCACUUGUAAACAAGGGAUUUUAAGAGAACCCGUAAAGUGAUAUCGCAAUAUUUUGAGGUUUGAAUGAAAACAGGACGAAGAUUACUGAGAUUUCGACAACAUGACGCCGCUCAAAAUAACUUUUAUUCUUAUUUCGCUGGCUGUCUUCACUUUCUUGUUAGAAGUUCAAGGUCAACUAUGUAAUAAAAUAAAAAGAAGAAAUGGGAUAAUUUGUCAAGAUAAAAAACUCAAUAAAAAAGGUAAAGGCCUGUGCGCAAGGAAAGGUCCAACAAUGAGUUGUGCCAGGGUAGGCAGAACCUGCCGUUGUAAGAACAGCUUAGUCCUAAAUGCACUUCCUCCAGUUUUAGAGAAAUAUUCGGUUGAUGGACUUGAAAUCACAUUUGACAAUGCAGUUGACAAUAGAAAUAUGUUUGAUAAUUACACAGAAUUCUAAGUGAUUUUGUGAAUGGAAUGGUCAUGAAAAGUGUUCGAUAUAUUGGAGGAACUCUAUAUCUAUAUAGCGAAUUACAAACAGGACAUGAAAAACUUCAUGUAUGUUUAUUUGCUGUUUCAAUAAAAUAAAGCUUAAUUUACGAAUUUAUAUUCAUAAAUAAAUUAUUUCCUGCUGAUUUA